rnacentral:rRNA from 1 species
CGGGGUGGAGUAAUGUCUGGGAAACUGCCUGAUGGAGGGGGAUAACUACUGGAAACGGUAGCUAAUACCGCAUAACGUCGCAAGACCAAAGAGGGGGACCGUUCGGGCCUCUUGCCAUCGGAUGUGCCCAGAUGGGAUUAGCUAGUAGGUGGGGUAACGGCUCACCUAGGCGACGAUCCCUAGCUGGUCUGAGAGGAUGACCAGCCACACUGGAGCUGAGACACGGUCCAG